GAUGAACGCUGGCGGCGUGCCUAAUACAUGCAAGUCGAGCGAACGGACGAGAAGCUUGCUUCUCUGAUGUUAGCGGCGGACGGGUGAGUAACACGUGGAUAACCUACCUAUAAGACUGGGAUAACUUCGGGAAACCGGAGCUAAUACCGGAUAAUAUUUUGAACCGCAUGGUUCAAAAGUGAAAGACGGUCUUGCUGUCACUUAUAGAUGGAUCCGCGCUGCAUUAGCUAGUUGGUAAGGUAACGGCUUACCAAGGCAACGAUGCAUAGCCGACCUGAGAGGGUGAUCGGCCACACUGGAGCGGAGACACGGACCAGACUCCUACGGGAGGCAGCAGUAGGGAAUCUUCCGCAGUGGGCGAAAGCCUGACGGAGCAACGCCGCGUGAGUGAUGAAGGUCUUCGGAUCGUAAAACUCUGUUAUUAGGGAAGAACAUAUGUGUAAGUAACUGUGCACAUCUUGACGGUACCUAAUCAGAAAGCCACGGCUAACUACGUG
rnacentral:rRNA from 1 species